UACGUAGGGGGCUAGCGUUGUCCGGAAUCAUUGGGCGUAAAGAGCGUGUAGGCGGCUCGGUAAGUCCGCUGUAAAAGUCAAAGGCUCAACCUUUGAAUGUCAGUGGAUACUGCCGGGCUAGAGUCCGGAAGAGGCGAGUGGAACUCCUGGUGUAGCGGUGGAAUGCGCAGAUAUCAGGAGGAACACCGGUGGCGAAGGCGGGUCUCUGGGCCGAUACUGACGCUGAGGAGCGAAAGCGUGGGGAGCAAACAGG
rnacentral:rRNA from 1 species